UACGAAGGGGGGCUAGCGUUGCUCGGAAUCACUGGGCGUAAAGGGCGCGUAGGCGGCGUUUUUAAGUCGGGGGUGAAAGCCUGUGGCUCAACCACAGAAUGGCCCUUCGAUACUGGGACGCUUUGAGUAUGGUAGAGGUUGGUGGAACUGCGAGUGUAGAGGUGAAAUUCGUAGAUAUUCGCAAGAACACCGGUGGCGAAGGCGGCCAACUGGACCAUUACUGACGCUGAGGCGCGAAAGCGUGGGGAGCAAACAGG
rnacentral:rRNA from 1 species